UACGUAGGUGGCAAGCGUUGUCCGGAAUUAUUGGGCGUAAAGCGCGCGCAGGCGGCUUCUUAAGUCUGAUGUGAAAUCUCGGGGCCCAACCCCGAGCGGCCAUUGGAAACUGGGAAGCUUGAGUACAGAAGAGGAGAGGUGGAAUUCCACGUGUAGCGGUGAAAUGCGUAGAUAUGUGGAGGAACACCAGUGGCGAAGGCGACUCUCUGGUCUGUAACUGACGCUGAGGCGCGAAAGCGUGGGGAGCAAACAGG
rnacentral:rRNA from 1 species